GCGGUAGUGGUAUAACGGCUUAUUACCUCAGCCCUCCAAGCUGAAGACGAGGGUUCGACUCCCUUCUACCGCU
rnacentral:tRNA from 1 species